AUUGAACGCUGGCGGCAUGCCUUACACAUGCAAGUCGAACGGCAGCACGGGAGCAAUCCUGGUGGCGAGUGGCGAACGGGUGAGUAAUAUAUCGGAACGUGCCCAGUCGUGGGGAUAACGUAGCGAAAGCUACGCUAAUACCGCAUACGAUCUAUGGAUGAAAGCGGGGGAUCGCAAGACCUCGCGCGAUUGGAGCGGCCGAUAUCAGAUUAGGUAGUUGGUGAGGUAAAGGCUCACCAAGCCGACGAUCUGUAGCUGGUCUGAGAGGACGACCAGCCACACUGGGACUGAGACACGGCCCAGACUCCUACGGGAGGCAGCAGUGGGGAAUUUUGGACAAUGGGCGCAAGCCUGAUCCAGCCAUGCCGCGUGCAGGAUGACGGUCCUAUGGAUUGUAAACUGCUUUUAUACAGGAAGAAACACUACUUCGUGAAGUAGCUUGACGGUACUGUAAG
rnacentral:rRNA from 1 species